UCGAUUCUCUCGAAAAUUAAUCAAGGGCAAUAACUUGAAUUCCUUUAUCGAUGAAUCCAACAGCACCGUCUUCAUCACAAAAACGGCCGACGAGUUCAUUUUCAAGGGCUACUCGGAUGUCGGAUCCCUUCCUGGACGCACAAGCUCAGCUGCCGCCAGGAUUGCUUGACAUUCCAUCGUACGACAAGUUCGGCUAGUUCUAUGGACGGAACGGGUCGGAGUCAUUUGAUGGCGUCUUCAAUAUAUUCACCGGUGUCGAUGACAUCAGAAAUUAACUCGACGUAAUGGACAUGUGGAACUACACCCGACAGACCAAGUAUUACGAAUCCUAUUGCGGAAUGGUUAACGGCUCGUUUGGCGAAGGAUGGCCGCCCAGAUCGACACCAGCAUCUCGAUGUACUCAUCUGAUCUUUGCCGGUCGAUUACCAUGGACUACAUGGAAGAUGUC